GGGCCCCGCGGGAGAGCCCCCCAGCCACCGCCCCGCCGCUGCCGGGGUGGAAGCAUCGCUUUUCUCUGCCGCGGCAGCAGCGGGGUGGAGGGGUAAUUACCGAUUUUCUAACGGGAAAAAAAAGGGUUUGGAGCCUCCGUGCUCCCAUUAACGCCUGAACGAAAGACUCGUUACGGAACAACAUGCCUCAGUCGGCAGGAGGAAAACCCUCGGCCGUUUUGCUUUCCAGGCGGUGUUGCACUGCAAAUCGGGAAGCAAAAUCCAAGACGCAGCUCCCCGCCGUCCUGCGGGAAGGAAGGACAGCCCUGUCCCCAGCACACCAUCCAUCUCCUCCAGCCAGACACAGGAGACAGUCAGCUCAGGAUCCUUGACGAACAAGGUAACUGUAUCAACUGCAGCUUCAAUCCCUGUAGCAUCUGGCCACUACAGGCUUAAACCGUGUGACAUCUGCUGGAAAUCAGAGGAGGUACAAGAGUUCCAGCUUCGUAUUAAAAAAUGUUGAGGGUUCUGCUCAGUGCCUGGGACAUAUCAGUAAGUCAUCAAAUUGGGAACCAGUACAAAUGAUUGCUCACACUACAGAACUCCAUCCUGAAGAACUUGAAAGCAUCUUUCAAGAUGUUCUCUCUGCCCUCUCCAACUUUCACUGUAAAACAAGCUCUGGUCAAUGAGUUUGUGCUAGUCCCUUCUACAUAAUUCCAGGUAAGCUGCAGUUACUAGAUCAUAGGUACAACUGACUUAUUUAUAGACCAUUCCUGUUUUAAAGUUUCCUUUUAUAUUUCCAAAAGAACAUUUCUCAGUUAAUUCACAUGUGAUUUCUUACAUAUUUAUGUGCCAGCAAAUCUAAAUGCAAAGUCUUACUGCAGCUGAUGCUAUCACAACAAAGCAGGCAUUUUUACAUGCUACUAUCAACUAAGCUCUAAGAAAACUAACAACUUGUAUCCUGCACACUUUUACAUCUGUUUGUAUGCAGCUGAGCAAUUGCCCAGAGAAAAAUAGAUUUUUUUUGUGUGGACAUCUGCUUCCUUGGAGUCAGCAAAGCAUUCUCCUCUGUUAAACUUGUACCAGAACAGUGUGUGUUAAAAUCUGUAUACAAGUAAGAACUUUAAAUAGUUUAAAAGGAUUAUUUUAAUGUUCUUGCCCUUAAAGGGGAAGUUUCUGUGUUUUGUGGGCACAUGCUAAUAAAAUCUGCCUCGUGCCCUGCUAA